ensembl:lncRNA
UGGUAACAAAGCAGUCUCUGCUGAGAUCCCAGAGCCAGUAGCUACCACUCUAAGGAGAGCUGACUCAACCACUUUGGACUAAUAAAUAAAUAAAUAAGUUUGUACUGCCAUUGCAGUCGUCGUCGUCGUUGCCGUGGACACCGUUGUCAACAGAACAACAACGCCCGACGACCCACCACUACUGGAGAUCAAUGACUGAACUAUGAACCACGCUGGACUAUGGUGGCAGACUAGACUGCAGUGAUCACGUCCAGGUGGAAUUCACAGUCCUAAGAAGUACAGCUUAAAUGAAGAGUAAAUAGAAUAAAAGAGAAUGGAAUUCUUUCAAUAGCAAUGGAUUCAGAAGAUCAUUCAGUCCAACUGUCACCAGGGGCUGACCCACAGUUAAACAUGGACAGACACAAAGCAUCAGCCACAUGCCUAGGAAGCUGUAAGAGACUAUUCUUUUAUAUCAUUGACUCAAAGUUUGCUGAGGAUCAAGUCCAGGCAAGUCCUGGGCAAAGGCAGAGAAAUCUUUUGUCUUGAGGACACUGAUGGACAGGUCCUGGCUAAGGAUUGUGAAAUCCUCUAAGGAGCACAGAUGGACAAGGCCAGGGGCAUCGAGAGAGAGAUAAGCUGCUGCUAAUGGCCGGGAAGCGGUCUUUUUGUGUGGACUUAUCUCAAGGAAAAUGGCCAUCUCAGGAGGUAUGCACAGGACUCUUGCUCAAGCACCCAGGAAUGUCACGUAGACAGCAGAAAAUGGAGAAUAAAAGAGGGUCCAAUAACCACAACGCUGGAAGCUGAUCCUUCACCACAACCACGGCAACGGGAGAGGCUUAUCUCUCACCACGACAGACUUGAGGGGUUCUCUGCCAACUGAUCUCUCACCGCAACGUGUAGACGGAUCUCUACGUGGAGACUGAUCUCUCACCACGACACGAGCUUCCUGCCUUCCGAUCCUCCUCUACGGACCGUUUGCUGACGGACUUCCCUGGGCCUGCUACCUGAGACCUGCUGCUUCCUCCCUGGCCUGCAUCCUCUCGCUGCCCCAGACCGGCCUCGCUGCUCCUGCCCUUCGGCCUCGGACCGUCGGAACGUCGUGCAACGGGACUGCUGCCGGAUCCUGGUGGUGACUAUCCCCGCUUUACGCAAUUCUUGCCUCUUUCUAUCUUUUCUAUCGCUCGCCUUCCCUUCCCCAUCACCCCAAUCCUUAAUAGCGUCCGUCCUCCCCUUUCCCCAUCUCUCUUAUUAACAUUUAUAAUAAACUGGUCGGACCAACAUUUGAACCGUUGUUUCUUAAUCUCACGCCGGGCAUACAUAUUUCAAAGAACCUCCUCUCCCUCCUAUAAAUUGGAGCGAGACAGAAGCAUAUUCCAGUGUCUAACUACUCUCUUGGUGAAGAAGUUUGUCCUAAUCACUGAAUGAUGGAUUAAUAGAAUCACAGAAUCAUAGAAUGGUUAAGAUUGUAUGGAACCUUAAAGAACAUCUAAUUCCAGACCUCUGCCAUGGACAGGGUUGCCACCCACUAGAAAAGUUUGCUCAGGGCCCCAUCCAACCUGAUUUUGAAUAUAUCCAGGAUUAUGAUACUCAGAGCUUCUCUGGGCAAACUGUUCUAAUGCCUCCCCACUCCCUGGGUAAAGAAUUUCCUCCUAACAUCUAGCCUAAGUCUCUUCUCUUACAGCUUAAUAUGAAAUCUUCAAGCUUCCACUGGGUAGCAUCUCUUCAUUUAUGUGUGUCCACUGCACCACUCAGCUUGGUGUCAUAUGCAGACUUGCUGGGAGUACACUUGAUCCCACUGUCCAUGCCACCUAUGAAGAUGUUAAAUAGCACUGGUCCCAGUACUGAUCCCUGAAGAACACCACUUGUCAUUGGUUUCCACUUGGACAUUGAGCUGUUGACUGCAACUCCCUGAGUGUGACCAUCCAGCCAAUUCCUUAUUCAGCUAGUGGUCCAUCCAUCAAGUCCAUUUUUCUCCAAUUUGGUGAUGAGGAUGUCAUAUGGGACAGCAUCAAAUGCACAAAUUGCAAAUUGUCAAAUGGCACAAAUCCAGGUAGAUGAUGUCAGUUGUUCUUGUUUUACCCACUGACACUGCAACUCCAUCAUAAUAGGUCAUCACAUUUGUCAGGCAUGACUUGCCCUUGGUGAAGCCAUGUUGGUUACCACCAAUCACCUCAUCUUUAUUUUCCAUGUGCCUUAGUAGGACCUUCAGAAGGAUCUGCUCCAUGAUCUUGCCAGGCACAGAGCUGGAUUCAAAUACAUGUAGGUGAAGAAAAUGCAAGAAAACAAAACAAACAAGGUUGACAAGAGUUACACUAAAUGAUUAAAAAAAUGAAACCAGCUCUGUGAAAAACAACAAAAAAAGAGAAAAUUAAACAACAAGGAGAUUAAAUAGGAGAGCUUAAUAUUGUACAACAGAUGGAAGGUUUUGUCUACAACGUGAAGGAAAUAAGCAAGUGGGCUGGAGGAGCACAAGGAACUGGGAGAGGACAGAACCAGUACAGCUGAACUAAACUGGCCAAAGGAAUAUUCCAUGCCAUAUGACAUCAUGUGAAAAACAAACAAACAAACAAACAAACAAAUCCCUAAAACUGGAGGGAGUUGGCCAUUGAGGGCAGCUACUACUUGGAGAUUGGCUGGGCGCUAGUCAGUAGGUAAUGAACAAUUGUCCAUUACUU